AGCUCCAAUAGCGUAUAUUAAAGUUGCUGCAGUUAAAAAGCUCGUAGUUGGAUUUGUGGCGCGGCCGUCCGGCGGGGGUCCUUCUAUGGUCUCGUUUGUCCUGGUUUUCGGCCGCCCCUUUCUCGGGUAGAGCGUAAUGGCUGGCAUUAGGUUGUCGGCCGCUUCGCGCCCGUCGUUUACUGUGAAAAAAUUAGAGUGUUCAAAGCAGGCUUAUGCCGUUGAAUAUAUUAGCAUGGAAUAAUAAGAUAGGACCAGGGUACUAUUUUGUUGGUUUGUGCACCUUGGUAAUGAUUAAUAGGGACAGUUGGGGAUAUUCGUAUUGCGGUGUCAGAGGUGAAAUUCUUGGAUUUCCGCAAGACGAGCUACUGCGAAAGCAUUUAUCAAGGAUGUUUUCAUUAAU
rnacentral:rRNA from 1 species